UACGGUGAGCCUGGCGACCCCUGGCUCUGCUGGACCUGCCCUGGACUCGGAAUUGCCCGUGUUUUAAGCGGAGCCGCGGGAGUGACCUGGCAGCUCCAUCCGACAUCUUUUUCAGGAGAAGACUUCUUAUCUGUGAGGUUUCUGGUCAACUUUCAACUGAGAAAAAAGGUAGUUUACUCAACUACUCAAAGGUAGUUGUUGGCAUUUGCUGUCAGAUUUCACUGUCAGGACUCUUUUUUAUUGCAUUUGCACAGCAAUUUCUAAGUCAAAUAAUGAAGCCUCCCAAGUUUUCUGCAAGGAUAUCCCAGACUUCCUGCUU